rnacentral:rRNA from 1 species
GGGAGCGCAGACGGGAGAUUAAGUCAGUUGUGAAAGUUUGCGGCUCAACCGUAAAAUUGCAGUUGAUACUGGUUUCCUUGAGUGCAGUUGAGGCAGGCGGAAUUCGUGGUGUAGCGGUGAAAUGCUUAGAUAUCACGAAGAACCCCGAUUGCGAAGGCAGCUUGCUAAACUGUAACUGACGUUCAUGCUCGAAAGUGUGGGUAUCAAACAGGAUUAGAUACCCUGGUAGUCCACACGGUAAACGAUGGAUACUCGCUGUUGGCGAUAUACUGUCAGCGGCCAAGCGAAAGCAUUAAGUAUCCCACCUGGGGAGUACGCCGGCAACGGUGCAACUCAAAGGAAUUGACGG